AGCGAACGCUGGCGGAAUGCUUUACACAUGCAAGUCGAACGGCAGCACGGACUUCGGUCUGGUGGCGAGUGGCGAACGGGUGAGUAAUGUAUCGGAACGAGCCCAGUCGUGGGGGAUAACGUAGUGAAAAUUACGCUAAUACCGCAUACGAUCUAUGGAUGAAAGCGGGGGAUCGCAAGACCUCGCGCGAUUGGAGCGGCCGAUGUCAGAUUAGGUAGUUGGUGGGGUAAAGGCCCACCAAGCCAACGAUCUGUAGCUGGUCUGAGAGGACGACCGGCCACACUGGAACUGAGACACGGUCCAGACUCCUACGGGAGGCAGCAGUGGGGAAUUUUGGACAAUGGACGCAAGUCUGAUCCAGCCAUUCCGCGUGCAGGAUGAAGGCCCUCGGGUUGUAAACUGCUUUUGUACGGAACGAAAAGGUCUCUCUUAAUACGGGGGGCUCAUGACGGUACCGUAAGAAUAAGCACCGGCUAACUACGUGCCAGCCGCCGCGGUAA
rnacentral:rRNA from 1 species